AGCUGCUAAAACUUGAUACUAUCUUAUCACAGUGCUUAUUAAAGUAGGAUGUGCAUGGUGAGAAACAUCAAUGAUUGUCAUUAGCCAGAUAAAUCUGAAAAUGUACAUUUAAGGGUUAAUUGUAAACUCUUGUUUUCCAUUGUUGUGGUGCAGUUGUGGUCUUUAACAUUAUAGUUUAACUGCAGAACUGUAGUUAAACUCUUAAUAAUUCAUAAUAUAGACAGACUGUAUUACAGUUCAGUACAUGACAAAAGAAAUAAGAAAGUUUAUUUCAAUAAACUAGUAUGCAACCACAGAGAUAGUCAAAAUAGAUAUGUCACUGAUAAUCUUAAACCCCCUUUUUUUACACUUUCAUCAUAUGCAAGAUUACUACAAAUUAUUAUUUAUUCAUUUGAGACCAUAUAUUUUGUGAAAUGACAAUUAACAUUUUUAAAAGACUUCCAUUUUAACAGUACGAUAUGUAGUUUAAUUUUCAGUGUAAUUAUCACAUUUCUGAAAACAUUUCCUGAGUGUUCUCUCAAUGUAAUUUUUACAAGAUCUAUAUUGUUUGUAUUUGUUUGUAUUUUGUCAUAUGAGUCCAUCAUUUGCAAAUGAAGUGUAUUGAAAUGUAAACUGCAUUGCAUUUACAUACUUUUAUACAAUUUGUUGGGUCUUUUCCCUGCUGUUUUUUUACACUCUUGUUUACCAAAAAUAUUUUUCCAAUAAUACUUAAGGUAGUGAAAUUGAAUCAGUGCAUGUGAAUACAGUUUAUACAUUCUCUAGUUGUUUUGUAUGAGUAAUCUGUCAUUUUACAUGUUUUAUAAGAUUUUGAUGCGUAUAGCCAAUAUUUUGUUGUUUUUAUUGAUUUAUAUUCUUUACAAAUCAAUAAAGCAAUUAUAAACUUA